ACGCCUGCAAUCUUUUCUUUUUCUAUUUUCAUCCAUCUCGGUGUGUUCCUCUGCCCCCCUCUCCUCUCCUCUCCUCCUCCUCCUCUCUUUCCCAUCAGUCAUCUUUUCCCUCUUUCUCUGUCUCUCCUCUCCUCCCUCCCUGCCCUCUGAGGAAACUGCAGCUUCUGUGAGGCUUUUAAAAAUAGAAGCUGCUGAAAAGCAGAAAGUGAUGGGCACUUGAAGGUACAGCCCAGGUAACCUGAGAGGACCUGCAGACUGCUGGGGGGAGCAAAGGAAAAGGUCUUUCAUUCAAGGACGACUGUGGGCUGAAUGAUGUAGUCAUGCACCAGGGACGAGCCACAGCCACAGAAAUAGAGAUGCAACUGUCCGUCAAGAACAUCGGUAUUAAGUUUUUAAAGGUCAGAAAAGAAUAAGCUUAAAUUUUGAAUUUCUGCUUCUGCUUCCUGCAAAGAAAAGAGUUAAGAAACAAAGCAACAACAGGCUGAAUGUGCUCGGUGCUCCACUUCUCUUCAGGAAGACAAACAGCACGAAUUCAGCAUCUGCAUGAGAAACUGACAAUAUUUUGGAAGACAGUCUUGUUUGCCCUCAUGCCCAGAGCUAGAUGAGAGCAUUGUACAGACAGGUGGCGCACAUGUCCAAGCUUAGAAAGAAAGAGGAAGCGCUACCAGCCACUUCUUUUGUCUGUUUCCAGUGUAGAAGCAGCCGACAGCAGUGGGAGCAGAGAGGUGCAGCAGGUGUGGGCUCCAGCCUCCACAGACUGAUCGUCAUACAGCUUGUUUGACUUCAGGCAAAAAAUGAAUCAGGUUCAUCUUGGAAAAUAACAUGAGCAACAUUUCACCCACAUGGACUGGCGGAUUAAACUGAAACAUAUUUAACAGGAACCAAUCAGCACUCAGUAAUGAGCUGGUCAUUGGUAGAGAUCAGUACAGAGAGCUGCUGUUUCACUGGGUUCAGUGGUUCAGUGUCACUGGAGGUUUCUGUCACUGAGCGGUCUGUGAAACACAUUCCUGGGCUUCACCAAGAGACAGAAACUGCAGCAUAUGAAGGUUUGAACUCUGUCAACAAGCUCUACAACUGUUUUCUGACAGCAUUAAAAAAAAAACAGCUCUCAUUCAAACUGCCCUGCACAGCAGGACUGAGUGAGUCUGUAGCAGCUCAGUUAGAAUGGCUGCUGAGCUGUGAGUCAGUCUGACUCUGAUGCCAGGUGAAGUAUUAAAACCCAGCAGUGAACCCAGGAGGGCGGUGCUUCUGAAUCCCACGCCAGGGUCCACCUGGCCUGGGUAUGUCCAUCUGCACUGGAGGCUCCAUCUUACUGAACGGCAGCCAGGAGGAGAGAUCAGUGGGAGAGCAGCCAUACGGCAUCUGCUGCUGCGUACUACACACUGUGUACUCUGUGUG